rnacentral:rRNA from 1 species
CCAAGGAGUCUAACAUGUGCGCGAGUCAUUGGGACUUGUUUAUGCCCAAAGGCGAAAUGAAAGUGAAGGUCGGCCCUGGACGCCGUCCGAGUUGGGACCCCGCGUCGCUUAUUACAGGUGCACGGGGGCACCAACGACCCGUCCCGUCCGCAGCGUCGGUGGGGCGGAGUGUGAGCGUACACGUUGGGACCCGAAAGAUGGUGAACUAUGCCUGGGCAGGACGAAGCCAGAGGAAACUCUGGUGGAGGUCCGUAGCGAUUCUGACGUGCAAAUCGAUCGUCAGACCCGGGUAUAGGGGCGAAAGACUAAUCGAACCAUC